rnacentral:misc_RNA from 1 species
GAGAGAGAGAGAGAGAGAGAGGUUAAUAUUUUUUUAUUUUAUUAGCAUGUGCGAGAAAUGAGCCAAAAAUUUUCUAAAUCUAGGAUUUAUUGGUUUCAGGAAUAAAACUAUAAGGGUCAAGUAGAUCAUAAUACAAGUAGACUAGAGGGUACCACCACUUUUUUCAUUUGAAGCCCGGAGUCAAUUUAUGUGUUCAGCCUUUUACCUUUCAAUGAUUAUGCAUAUGGUUUAACCACGGUCAAAUAGGAUCAUGAUGCACCUACUCUGCCCUUUUUGUUUUGACUUGUGAGACUUUUAUAUGCAUGGAUAAUAGACAUGCCAGCUAUGUGAAACUUCUUUAAACAUUGAUGUGUAACAGG